GAUGAACGCUGGCGGCGUGCCUAAUACAUGCAAGUCGAGCGAACAGACGAGGAGCUUGCUCCUCUGACGUUAGCGGCGGACGGGUGUGUAACACGUGGAUAACCUCCCUCUAAGACUGGGAUAACUUCGGGAAACCGGCGCUAAUACCGGAUAACAUCUUGAACCGCAUGGUUCGACAGUGAAAUACGGUCUUGCUGUCACUUCUAGCUGGAUCCGCGCCGCAUUAGCUAGUUGGUAAGGUAGCGGCUUACCAAGGCAACGAUGCGUAGCCGACCUGAGAGGGGGGUCGGCCACACUAGAGCGGAGACGCGGACAAGAGUCCUACGGGAGGCAGCAGUAGGGAAUGUGACGCAGUGGGCGAAAGCCUGACGGAGCGGCGCCGCGUGAGAGAAGAAGGUCUUCGGAGCGUAAAACUCGGUUAUUAGGGAAGAACAAAUGUGUAAGUAACUAUGCACGUCUUGACGGUAGAUAAUCAGAAAGCCACGGCUAACUACGUG
rnacentral:rRNA from 1 species